GACGAACGCUGGCGGCGUGCUUAACACAUGCAAGUCGAACGGAGUGGCGAACGGGUGAGUAACACGUGGGUGAUCUGCCUUUCACUUCGGGCUAAUCUUGGGAAACUGGGUCUAAUCCCCGAUAGUGCAAGAUGUGCGCGCGGCCUAUCAGCUUGUUGGUGGGGUAAUGGCCUACCAAGGCGUCGACCGGUAGCCGGCCUGAGAGGGUGUACGGCCACAUUGGGACUGAGAUACGGACCAGACGGCUACGUGAGACAGUAGGGGGGAAUAUUGCACAAUGGGCGGAAGCAUGAUGCAGCGACGCCGGGGGGGGGAUGAAGGCCUUCGGGUUGUAAACUGCUUUAGACAGGGACGCGGUACCUGUAUAAGAAGCACCGGCUAACUACGUGCCAGCAGCCGCGGUAAUAC
rnacentral:rRNA from 1 species